rnacentral:rRNA from 1 species
GACGAACGCNGGCGGCGUGCUUAACACAUGCAAGUCGAACGAAGAGCGAUGGAAGCUUGCUUCUAUCAAUCUUAGUGGCGAACGGGUGAGUAACGCGUAAUCAACCUGCCCUUCAGAGGGGGACAACAGUUGGAAACGACUGCUAAUACCGCAUACGAUCUGACCUCGGCAUCGAGGAUAGAUGAAAGGUGGCCUCUACAUGUAAGCUAUCACUGAAGGAGGGGAUUGCGUCUGAUUAGCUAGUUGGAGGGGUAACGGCCCACCAAGGCGAUGAUCAGUAGCCGGUCUGAGAGGAUGAACGGCCACAUUGGGACUGAGACACGGCCCAGACUCCUACGGGAGGCAGCAGUGGGGAAUCUUCCGCAAUGGACGAAAGUCUGACGGAGCAACGCCGCGUGAGUGAUGACGGCCUUCGGGUUGUAAAGCUCUGUUAAUCGGGACGAAAGNCCUCUGCGAAUAG